UUUACAGGAACAUGCAUUUUCUCAUAACCCACAAGUCUACCAGUGCCACUGCAACAAGUUCACAGAGGAAUGUGAGACGUGUGGAGUGACACCUUUGGUUUGAGUUUGUGAUGCUACAUUUGGUAAAGUUCCAGUUGAAAAAGAAGGAAUCCAUAUUUUAGAUUGGUCUUUUGACGAUGAAGCUCCACCACCUAAUCAGAUAGCAGAUGACUGGCUAAACCUGUUAAUCACUAAAGGGCGUGAAAAGCCAGGUUGCUGCCUUGCAGUGCAUUGUGCUGUGGGAUUGGGAAGGGCACCUGUGCUGGCAGCGCUUGCUUUGAAUAUGGAAUUAAGUAUGAAGAUGCAGUUCAGUUUAUAAGACAAAAAAGAAGGGGAGCAUUCAAUUCCAAACAGCUGCUUUACUUGGAGAAAUGCCGACCUAAGGUGCAAUUACACUUCAGAGAUACCAGUGGGC
rnacentral:lncRNA from 1 species